CUACAGAGGGUGCGAGCGUUAAUCGGAAUUACUGGGCGUAAAGCGCGCGUAGGCGGCUGAUUAAGUCAGAUGUGAAAUCCCAGGGCUCAACCUUGGAACUGCAUCUGAUACUGGUCAGCUAGAGUUAGGAGAGGGAAGUAGAAUUUCAGGUGUAGCGGUGAAAUGCAUAGAUAUCUGAAGGAAUACCAGUGGCGAAGGCGGCUUCCUGGCCUAAAACUGACGCUGAGGUGCGAAAGCGUGGGUAGCAAACGGGAUUAGAAACCCCAGUAGUCC
rnacentral:rRNA from 1 species